rnacentral:lncRNA from 1 species
AUGCCUGAGCAGACCAGAGCAGACGAGCACAGAGAGAUCAGAGAGAGACAGACCAGAGCAGAGGAGCACAGAGAGAUCAGAGAGAGACAGACCAGAGCAGAGCAGCACAGAGAGAUCAGAGAGAGACAGACCAGAGCAGAGGAGCACAGAGAGAUCAGAGAGAGACAGACCAGAGCAGAGGAGCACAGAGAGAUCAGAGAGAGACAGACCAGAGCAGAGCAGCACAGAGAGAUCAGAGAGAGACAGACCAGAGCAGAGGAGCACAGAGAGAUCAGAGAGAGACAGACCAGAGCAGAGCAGCACAGAGAGAUCAGAGAGAGACAGACCAGAGCAGAGCAGCACAGAGAGAUCAGAGAGAGACAGACCAGAGCAGAGGAGCACAGAGAGAUCAGAGAGAGACAGACCAGAGCAGAGGAGCACAGAGAGAUCAGAGAGAGACAGACCAGAGCAGAGCAGCACAGAGAGAUCAGAGAGAGACAGACCAGAGCAGAGGAGCACAGAGAGAUCAGAGAGAGACAGACCAGAGCAGAGCAGCACAGAGAGAUCAGAGAGAGACAGACCAGAGCAGAGGAGCACAGAGAGAUCAGAGAGAGACAGACCAGAGCAGAGGAGCACAGAGAGAUCAGAGAGAGACAGACCAGAGCAGAGGAGCACAGAGAGAUCAGAGAGAGACAGACCAGAGCAGAGGAGCACAGAGAGAUCAGAGAGAGACAGACCAGAGCAGAGGAGCACAGAGAGAUCAGAGAGAGACAGACCAGAGCAGAGGAGCACAGAGAGAUCAGAGAGAGACAGACCAGAGGACCAGAGAGAUCAGAGAGAGACAGACCAGACCAGAGCAGAGGAGCACAGAGAGAUCAGAGAGAGAUCAUAGAGAGAGACAGACGGACAGACAGACAGACAGACAGACAGACAGACAGACAGACAGACAGACAGACAGACAGACAGACAGACAGACAGACAGACAGACAGACAGACAGACAGACCCUGGUGGUAGUGGACGCCCCCCCCUUUCCUCCAGAAGGCCAGCUUGUCGUGAAGGAUGACCGUCCCGACCACGUCCGGUCCGCCCCGCGCCGGGGACCAGGAGGACCGCCCGCUGCCCGCUGGGGACCACUAACCAGGUUAACCAGGUAA